GCUGAGACUAGCUGAGAGUACUGGCUGCUAAUUCCCCACUGAAUGCUGCAGCCGUCAUCAAGCAGAGCUCUGAAAUAUGGGCAUCGUCUUGCAUUUGCAUCCCGCGUUCAUGAGGUCUAGUCCUUACAAGUUUCCAUCUUCGGGGCAGCACAGAGGACAUCUUUUGCUGGUAUAUCGCAUUCCCUGAACAGGAAGUGAACACACCCUUGUCCCAUCCGAAGCAGGGACGCAGCAACCCCUUUGCAGACCCAAGGUGGUAUCUGUGCUGCUUUUCCCUUCCUUCCUAACUCACGGGCUGGAUGCGGUCACCCCUUCAGGCACGCAGGCACCCUGAACGUGCUUCUCACAGGGACCCCUUUGUUCUCGUGCCGAUCUCUAGCAAAUCUUGAAAACCUGCCAGCGCCACCACAGCACCACGAGCCCUGGCACCCCUGGCAGUGACACGGCAAGCUCGGCAGGCUGCUGCUGCGCCUUUGUUACCGCGGGAAGAGGCGUGCAGGCUCUCCUUCUUUGGAAGCAUGGCUCUGCUCCACAUCCCCGCGCUGCUCUGCCCUCCGUGUGGAGGGUUGAACCGAGCUGCGUGGCCGUGUCCUACGUCACUUGUUUUUAAGAAGCUCCUGCCAGCUUCCUGCUGGGGAGCUGAUCCUGCUGACGUGUGUGGCCAGGCCACGUCAGGCGCAGCCGGGAAGGGAAAUACAGUCCUUUUUUGGGCUCAGGCUACAGCGAAAUCUAUUGGCCCGAGCAGAGGAGAGGGCUGAGAUUCGGGAACAGCUGGGCUCUGUCACUAAUUUAGCACUAAGAGCUUAAACAAUGCCCAGGAUAAACACACGCCAGGACUGGCAGAUCUCCCUCUUUUUCUCAGCUCAGCACAAUAUUUUCCUUUCUCUUUUAAAAAUGUUAUUUCACUGCUGAUAAUUAAUUCGAGUGGAAUGCUCUCCCAGGGUUAUAUUUAGAUUUUCUUCUCCGACGGCACUCCCCCGUUCCAACUUGUGUGAUGCAGCUGUAUCGCUGUGGGUUUUGAAAUGGAAACAAUCAGUCCACUUGUACAAAACUUAGCAGUUUCGUGUCCCAAGGCAGCACCUGAACUGUGGCACUUUUGGGGAUUCAAAAAGGCUGCACGUUGCAGGGGGGAACUAGCACAGCUGAACCAAAAUACAACUGCAGCUUGGAAUGGGGGCUUUUGGGUGCCUGAAAAAGGGGGAAGAAACCAGCCCUGGAUCAGAGCACGCUGAAAGCGGUGUGUUAUUUGGAGUUGGUUAUUCAUGUGCAUGCACAUUUGGAAAUCUGGACACUUUACAGCAAGUCUCUAAGGUAGAUUUAUGUCAAAUCUCCACCUGACAGCUCCUCAGCUUCAGGGAAAACUCCAAGCUAGGCUCAGAAUCCAUAGGAAGCCCCCCAGA